rnacentral:rRNA from 1 species
GAUGAACGCUGGCGGCGUGCUUAACACAUGCAAGUCGAACGUGAGAAUAGCAAUAUUUGAAAGUGGCAAACGGGUGAGUAACACGUGGGAACCUGCCUCGAAGUGGGGGAUAACGAUUGGAAACGGUCGCUAAUACCGCACGGUUCUGCUCUGAUGGGAAUGGAGCAGAUAAAGAUUUAUCGCUUUGAGAGGGGCCCGCGGCCGAUUAGCUAGUUGGUGGGGUAAUGGCCUACCAAGCCUGUGAUCUGUAGCUGGUCUGAGAGGACGAUCAGCCACAUUGGGACUGAGACACGGCCCAAACUCCUACGGGAGGCAGCAGUGGGGAAUCUUGCGCAAUGGGCGAAAGCCUGACGCAGCCAUGCCGCGUGAAUGAUGAAGGUCUUAGGAUUGUAAAGUUCUUUAGCCUGUGACGAUGAUGACGGUAACAGGAGAAUAAGCCCCGGCUAACUUCGUGCCAGCAGCCGCGGUAAUGUCGUC